AAAGAAUUAGUUAAAUUAACCUUAGUAUGUCAUACUAAUAUUAUUAGUCAAAAUCUAAUAUUCUUUA
rnacentral:tRNA from 1 species